CACUAAAAGUGGUACCAACACAUAAAAUAAGUAAACUCGGAGAAAAAGGCUACAAAUAUUUCAUUUGACUUGGUCUACAUCUCAGAAGUUGACAAAUUCAAUCUUCAAAGUUAACAAGUCUUUUAUGGGAGUAAAUAACAUAAAUGGUCCCUAAACUAUUAUAGUAUGUCUAAAAUAGUCCAUUAACUAUACCGUUAACAAAUAUAGUCCUUUAACUAUCUACAAUCUUGUCAAGUUUGGUCUAUAUCUACUUUUUAUAAAUAAAUAAAAACUUGUAAUUCUAAUUUAAUCUCUAUCUCCUGACUUUUUUUUUGCCACUUCUUUGCUCUAUUAUCUCACUAUUUCUUCACUUUAUUUUGUCCAAUUCUUUUUUUUCUACUGUCUUACUGUAAUUGUGUGUUGGUCGUUAUUUUAUUUGAGUUGAAUCAAAUUGCAGCUCUAAAAACACCAAAAAAAUCAGCAUGAAAUUGUACAUAACACAGCACUAGACAACAACAUCAAACCAUUAAAAUAUCAAUACCAAACUACUACAUCAGACUACGAAAAAUUUGCACCAAAAGCACUCGAGCACCAAAUAUCAGCUGCAAACUGCACAAAAUAUAGCACAGAAACUGCACCAAACUACACAAAAACUGCACCAAAAAACAUCACCAAGCUACCCCAAACUGCACAAAAACAACACCAAACUUGACAAGGUUUUCUUUACUAUAGCAGCGUCAAUGAAGAAAAGAAGAGGGAAAAAGAAAAUCAAGAGAGAGUAGCUGUAUUAUGAAGUUUGUUAACGGUGUCUAUAAAAGUAGAUACAGACCAAACUUGACAACAUUAUAGAUAGUUAAGGGACUAUUUCCGUUAAGUGUAUAGUUUAGGGACUAUUUUAGAUCUACUGUAAUAGUUUAAGGACCAUUUAUGUCAUUUUCUUUCUUUUAUGGGGGUGAUGGGACAUGAGAGAAUAAGAACAAGCUACCGAGGUGCAAAAUUUGUACUUGCUUUUACUUGAACGUUUCUAAUUACAUACAUACUUUUCCAACCCUACUAUAAUAUAUAGUUGGCUAUCUUAAUAAAAUUAUAUGUUUCGAAUCAUUUGUCUACUUAUUAAAUUGAAUUUAAAAAAUUCAUUUAACUCCUAUUAUGAAUACUUUUUGAAUAUCUUAAUGUACAUCAGAAUGAAUUAGAGAAAUUAAUUAUUUGAUAUAUAAUUUCUUAAACAUCAUAUAAAAUGAAAGAUAAUCAAUUAAUAUGAAACAAAACAAGUAACAUUUUAUAUGAUUUUAGUAAACGAAAAGUUAUUUGGCUCUUCAAAUAGUAUAAAGUGGUAUGGAAGGAGUUCCUAGAAAUUGAGACCUUUUCCUUUCCUCUUGUUUUCUUAGUUAAAUAACUACUCAUUUUAAAACUAUGCAUUGUAUUAAAAAGAGUGUUACUAUUACAUAUAAACUUUAUAAUAAUUAUUGUUAGCUAGACUACACGUACACUAAAAGUGGUACCAACACAUAAAAUAAGUAAACUCAGAGAAAAAGGUUAUCAUACUAAGGAUGUUAACGAGGAUAUAACUCAGAUAUGGAUGCCUCAUUUCGUGAUGAACCAAUAGAUUUACUUUUGGCUAGUUCACUAGAGUCUGUCAUUCUUGUGUUGUAUUCUUUAAUAAGCGACGUCUCUGCGGUAAUAUUACUGUGCAUAUAGAAUGCUGGCCCUGAAGGCAUUGGAAGACUCAACGAAAAGCUACUGAGCAUGAGAACAACAGCUGCCAUGGUUGGUCUAUCAGCCACACUUUCUUGAACACACAAUAAAGCUAUGUGAAUGCUUCUCAUUAUGUCACGAAUCAGUCCUGUGCUUUCCUUCAGCAUUGGAUCUACAAAAUCUAUAGUUGUUCCAUUACGCCAGCUUAACCAAGCCUGUAUGUGAAUGUGAUAGUUCAAUUAUCAGAAUAAGAUGAAAUUCUCUGACCAUUUCACAAAAUUAAUACUUGAUUGAUUGGCCAGGUUACUUACAAAACUCAAAAGGUCUUCCACCGAUUCUCCAUUUCUGAAACAAGUGUUUUUUUGGCCACUUAAAAUUUCUAAGACUAGUACUCCAAAGCUAAAAACAUCUGACUUUACGGAAAAUUGCCCGUGCAUUGCAUACUCUGGUGCCAUAUAUCCACUGUGAAACAAAAACAACAAUUACGUAACAUUCCGCAACUUAUAUAACAUUGCAUAUUUAGUAGUCCAAACAGUGGGAUCAGCAAAACUAAAUAGCUGUUAAAACAGGGAACUACUUGAUGUUAAAAGUCAGAACUACAUGUUUCAUUAAUGAUCUGGGACAUUUUCUCAAGGAAGUCGAAAGCACAAAUUGGGUUGUUAUGUCUUACUGCAAUGUGAAGACAACAUCUUAGACCACUGAUCUAUUCUUGGCUGAGCAAAUAACAAGUUUUGAUGAGUUAAGACCAAUAUCUUGUAUUUUGCUACCGCGAGAUCAUAUCUGAUAACCUCUUUGAACAAUGAGAGUUCAUAUGCAGAAAAGAAGAAGAUAUUUUUGUUCUAAACAAAAUCAAAUUUAGCUUAUUCAUUUCCAGAACUCUGUUUUGGCCGAAGAUCCUGAACUUCAUUUUAAUCAUUAGAGAUUGCAACUUUGGUAGUGACCAAAUUGAGAACAAAACUCUAGGUAUAUAACCAUCAUCUUGAAUAAUACUGAGUUUGUACACCACGAAAGUCCUAGUUCAACAAAAUUGAGGUAAGCAUUCCUAAAGAUAGUACAAUGAUGAGCAAAAUUCAUAUUGAAAAUUCUAAUAACAAUUCAAAGAAAGAUUUUCUUUUGUCUCGAGGCAGCUUUUAUUCUAGCUAAGUUGUUAAAUAAUCCUUCCUAGCAAAAUGCUAAUAACAGUCUAUCCAACGAGAGAGGUAAAACUUACUAGGUCCCAACAAUUCUGUUUGUGCUGCCUUGAGUUUCAUCUAAUUCAAAUAGCCUUGCCAUGCCAAAAUCUGAGAUUUUAGGAUUCAUUUCUGUAUCUAGUAGAACAUUACUAGCUUUGAGAUCACGGUGAAUGAUCCGAAGCCUAGAAUCCUCAUGAAGAUAAAGAAUUCCCUUAGCAAUGCCUCCUAUUAUUUUGGAUCGCCUUUCCCAAUCCAAUUGCCUACGUUUAACUGAAUCUGCGAACAAGAUGAAGAAUAUGAAAAUAAAAUAAAAUUCUAAGUCACUUAAAAUGUUACUACAGGCAACUGCUCAUUAUAAGUGCAAUUAGUUCUAUGGUAUAUAAGGCAGACAACCAGACAAGAUAUCGAAUUACAUUGAUAGAAUAACUUUUGUUAGGGGUGUACAUGGUCGGGUUGGUUCGGGUUUUUUAAAUAUCAAACCAAAUCAUUUGUGUCGGAUUUUUGAAUUUAUAAACCAAACCAAACCAAUAAAACUCGGGCUUUUCAACCUCAGAUUUUUUCAGAUUUUUUUGGGUUUUUUGGAUUUUCGGGUUUUUCUAGUAAAGUAUUCAUACAAACAUAUAAUUUACUUGUACUUCAAAUAUUUCUUUAGUCCUACCAAAAUACAACUAUCUAAGGUGUUUCUUAAGAAAAUAACACAAAAUAUGAUAUGAUUAAUGACAUUAAAAUAUCCAACAAAAAAAUAAUAAUGAAAUCGCGUAAAACAAAUAUUGCAAAUUAAUAAGUAAUAAUGAAAAUAAUCAUAAUUUAAAAGUACUAAAUCAUGCUAAAAUAAGUUUAAUAAGUAUUAGUUACAUGACUAAGUAUUAAAGGAAAUUAAAAAUUAGAUUAUGUACUUUAAUUGUCUAAACCUUUGUAAAACUAAAGAACAAAUAUUCAAUAUUAUUGUCAUUCUUAGUGUUGAAUUGAUUUUCUUUUUGCAUUAGUAUUAAUUCGAUUUUGAUUUAAACUUUAUUAUAAUUACCAACAUCUAUGAACUAUAAUCUUUAUGAACUAUUAAGAAUUCUAAGUUUCAAACAUGAAAUAAUAUAUUAAAAGAUAAAAACUAUGAAAAAAGUAUAACAAAAUAUUUAAAAAUUAUAUCAAAGUAAAUAUUUUUACGUAUAAAAUAAAAUUUUAAAAUUAAUAUAUAUAAUGUCGGGUUGGUUUUUUUUUAGUUAAAACCAAACCAACCCAAAUAUAGUCGGAUUUUUUAUUUCAAUACCAAAUCAAGUCAAACCAAACCACUAGUCGGAUUUUUUUUUCGAUUUGACUCGUUUUACAGUUUGGUUCGGUUUUCGAUUCAAUUUUGUACACCCCUACUUUUGUAUAUAAGUUAAAUUCAUAACUUAUUGAUGCUCAAGCUCAAUAUUGAUAAAAAGUCAAGCAGUACAUACCAAAUAAGAAGUGGUCAAGACUUGCGUUGGGAACAAACUCAUAGACAAGAAGUCGCUCUGUUCCGUCUAGGCAAAAUCCCAGCAACCUAACCAAAUUCCUGUGUUGAAGCCUGGCAACCAACAAGACCUCAUUUUUGAAUUCUAGAUCACCUUGGCCUGAAUCUGCUGAUAACCUUUUCACUGCUACUUCUUGUCCAUUUUGAAGCUUACCCUAAAAUAUAAAUGAAAACAAAUUGAAAAAAUAUGAACUAAAGCAAUGAAAUUAUAACAAGUACUCAUAUUCAGUGGAAAGAAUAUUUGUACAAUAGAAGUUAAAAUCAUGCUACAAUAUGUAAGUUUAAUUACCUUGUACACAGGACCAAAUCCGCCUUCUCCGAGCUUAUUAGCAUCUGAGAAGUCAUCUGUUGCUGCUCUAAUUGCCGAAAAUCAUAUUGAAAAGAUUCUGCAAUACUAGUAUCAUCUACAGAUGUACCUUCACGAACAUAGUAGUAAUAGCUUACAACAAAUUAGUGAAACAUGGUCUUAAUAAUUCAACUUUCCUGAAUUAUUGUUUGUUUAUAGUUUACGCUUACUCUGAAUUUCGUUCACCAGCUUCCUCUUGCGCCUCCUUAUCAUGAUGACAGCAAUACAAAUCAUAAGAAUAACAAUUGUAACAGUUGACACAACGAUAAUGAUAAUUGUUCGUGUUGUUUUAUCAUCCUUCCCUGUUGGAGGUGUUUUAUUUUCCGUCCCUGUUGGAACUGUUUUAUUAUCAUUUCCUACAAAAAAAAAAAAAAAAAGUUUCAAGUUAGUACAAUAUCUUCUCAUUCCCAAUUCACUUGUCUUACUUUGCUUUUAAGAAUAACUAAGAAACUUUGCGUAUUACCUAUUGAAUAUCACAAAUACAAUUGGUCCUAUAAUAUAGUAUGUUCUUCCAGCCUUAACUCAUGUCAAAGACUUGUGGUUGUGUUGAAUUGUAUGAUCUAUCUCAUCUAAAGUCUUAAGUUGUUAUACAUAGUACACUUGUCUUUCGCCCCAUGAAUUGGUUAUUCCUAAACGAGUCAUGAAGGGUAUAACGAAUAUACCUUGUCUCCACAUUGGAUCAAGAACAGGAUCUGACUUGUUUGGCUUUGUGCCUAGACAGUUUGCAUUUCGUAAAACUAAAAAAGACUAGGACACCCCCUUCUUUUGAUUUACGUUCCAUCAGUCUCAUAGAAUGGGGUAGGUAGGAGAUAAUCAGUGAUCGGAAGGCGUUCAUUUCAAUCUCUAUAAACAGUGACAAUUUCUCAAUCUAUUUGAUUGAAUUGAUAGAUACGAAACCUCCCCAUUCUUAGGAUUUUAUCAAUCAGAUGAAAAAAAAAAAAAGAUUUAUACUUGACGUCUUCAACACGCCACCUCAAGUGCGAGCCUGAUUCUCUUUUAUGAGUCAAGCAAACAGUAAAUCUUCUUGAUAGAUGGUGACAAAGAGAUUUGAAUGAAGAACCAUAUUGAAUUGUGUUACUAUAUAUCUCAUCUAAAAACUUAAAACUAUUUGAUUUUUAUUUAAUUAAUUAUGUCUUCAACAGUCUCAAUCAAAAUUGGAUAUUGAUAAAAUUGGGAUUAGCAAAAGGAACAAUAAAAACUGUGUUCACCUGCAGGUGGCGGAGCUUCCAACGGCACAUCCACGAAGAAACGGGAAAUUUCAUAACGGAAGUUGCACCUAAUCCCUAUGAUUCUUCCACCGGUCUUUCCCAGGCAGGGACAUUGAGGCAAGGUUCCAUAAGCGUCAGUUAAGCAAUUGAAGCAACUCUGACGAGAUAAAUCAGGAGUACACUGCACAAGUGCAUAUAUAGACUGAGAAUCUGGACCUGUCGCAUUACCACUAGCAUAUUUUUGAAGAGGACCACCCUGUGCAGCACGGUCUCGUAAAUUUUCCAAUAAUUUUCUUAGCUCCUGGUUAAAUUCCUCGGGUUUUGAAGCAUUCGCAGGAUUCCAAAGAAAUAAUUGAAUAGACAACGAUGGAGUAUCUAUAAUGGAUUGAUUCGAAUACUGUAACAUACAUUCAUCAUAGCCACCGAAAACUUCUUUUUGGUUAGGACAUAACUGUGCAAUCUUUUGAACAGCAUUAUCAACACAAACGCGACAAUCAUCUAGCUCCACAUCUCCUCUACAUAACACAAUAACGCUGGCUCUAUCAGAGUUUUGGCCAAUAGAAGCAUUGUAGAAACCGUAGUUAUCUAUUUUUGAGGAAAGGGAAGUGAGGAGUGUGUUUAGAUUGUUCUUGUAGGUACUAUUCUCAGUAUAGUUACCAUUCUUACCACAUAUACCGAAUCGUAAAUCAGGCAGCUGCGCUACAAUAUUGAGAACAUGUAAAUGCAAAAAUAGAAAGAAUAACCACUUUUGAAUAGCCAUGGCUAUGUCUGUUUAAGUUACAAGCAAGUUUUGAUAUUAGUGCAGAAUAUGUAAAAUAGAACCUAGAGCAGGAAGAGCUUGUAAAAAGAGUUGGAGAUAGCGUAUUGACCGGGGUGUAGCGAACUUCAUUUGUCUUGGCAGUACAAUUUCUGACAUAUUAGUUAAGCAAGAAAAGGACAUUGAUAUUUGAAGGUUAGCUGCAAAACUAACACUCGGUUGGAUUGGAUUCAAAUUUUAAAAGAAAAAAGAGCUUUUAAAAUUAUUAAUAAUCUUAAAUAUGCAGUAACAUUUAUCUUAUAUAAUAAUAAAUGUAUGGUUGUUAAAGUAUAAAAUGAAAUUAUUUUUAGAUACUCCCUCUGAGCAGUUUUAAUUGUUAUUUUGCGCUUUUCAAAAGUCAUUUUCAUUAUUUUUUAAAGUUAAAUUAAAUUACAUUAAUUCAAUAUUUUAAAUAAAAAAUUUAGAUAUUCAAAAACUAUACAAAUAAUACUAUAAAUUGCAACUUUUUGUAUAUCAAUAUAAUAAAAAUAUAUCAUAAAAUGUUAAUCAAAACUCUUAUCGUUUGACUCUAAAAAAAACCAUGAUAUUUAAAAAUGGACUGAGGGAGGGAGUACAAAAUAUAAGAAAAUAUCAAAUUUCUUUUUGAAAAACUAAUUGAUGUAGUUCUUUUGAAAUAAUGUCACAUGGAAUUAAUAAGGAAUAGUACAAACUUUUGACUUGGUCUAUAUCUUUUGGGUUGAAUAAUUGACUUUUAAGGGUGCAUUUGUGAAUAUUUUUGAAAUAUAUCUUUUCUAGAGAAAUAAUUCGGAGGAAAAUGACGUUUCUUAUAAAUGAAAAAUAUGCUUUCUAGAGAAAUAAUUUGGAGGAAAAUAACUUUUCUUAUAAGGAAAAAAAAAUAAUGAUGAAGAAGGUUAUAUUCACUUUCCUAAUGUGAUGAAGAAGCUUAUAUUCAUUUUUCGGAGCCGAGAGGAUAAUAUUUUUCCUCUAAAAAUAUAAAUGGUAAAUCAAUUUAUUUUAAUUAACAAAGCAAAAUUGCUACUGAGGGAACAAUAUCUUUUAACGUCGUGCACACCGUUAAAAACAUCAUUUAAAAUCGUUGCUGGCCCGAUUUUGUCCAAAAAAAAACAUUUAAAAUCAAAAUGGCUGCAGGAAUUUUUUUUAAAAGUAAAAUCAUUGCCUCAGCAGCGUUAUUCUAAAAAAAUAAAAAGAUUUCCUCUAAAAUUGCUACGCAGCGUUUUCUUAAAAAUAAAAUAAAAUUUAUAGCAAUUUUAAUUUAAAAACUGAAAUCGCUGCAAUGGCAGCAAUUUUCCGAUUUUUUUUUUUAAAAUUAUCGCUGCUUUGGCAGCAAUUUUCCUUAAUGUUUUUUUUUUAAAAAAAAAUGAAUAAUGCUGCUGAGACAGCGAUUUACAAUAAAAAAAACUAAGGUCAUGCACGACAUUAAAAGAUAUCGCACCCUAGGUAGCGAUUUUGUCGUUUUAGUUUUUUAAAAAAAAUUGAUAUACCAUUUAUGUUUUUUGAGGGGAAAAAAUUACCCUUUUAACUCCGGACUCGAUUUUAUUAGGCCAAACCACUUUUGGGCCUAGUCUUGUAUAACUCUGUUUGAAUUUUAAUAAUAGCAACUUUCACAUAUAGCAAACACAAAAAUCAUAUUUGUAUGUUAUAGCUAUAGUUUGCAUAAUUGCGCUCUAUAUCAAACAUGCUAUGACUAUUUCACUAUACAUAUAUACAAAAGAAGCUAGGUUAUGUUGAUAUAUAUAUAUAUAUAUAUACACACACAAAAGAAGCAAUUGUAUAAUUCGCUGACUCCUAUUAAGAUUUGUAUAAUUUCGUUGGCAGCCUCUCAAUUCAAUUUUAUGUGUUUGUACAUUUGUAUACAAUUUGAAUUUUUAUACAAUUGAAUCGAAAUAAAACAUUUGUAUAUCAAAUAUCGCACUCUCUCUCUCACAUUAUAUAAACAUAAAUUAUACAUUGUAUUUUGUUUAAGUUGUGUUUGUAUAAAGCGAGAAAGAGAGAAAGGCAAAAGAGAACUGGGCAGGGAAAUAUUUGUAUUGUAUAAUUAUAAGUGUAUAGGAUGAAAAUAUAUGUAUUUGCAUGUGUAUAUACAAUUUUCUCUCUCUUUAUAUAAACAGAACACAAUUUAUACAUUUCUGUUUGUAUAAAGCGAGAGAGGCGAGGGAGAGGCUAGCGAGCGAGAAUUUCAGGGAGAGAGGCGACUGACCACAGUUUGCUACGGGACACAAUUAAAUCAAACUAUGGUUAUAGCAUUUAAUUUGAAUUAAUAGUUUGUCAUUAUAUACAAUUUCCCUUUUAAUAAAGGGCUUAAUGCCUGACUUUUAUUAUUUUUUUAAAAUAAAAAUAAUAAUAAAAGUAAACAAAAAUCGAGUUCUACAAGUGAUACUUCAUAUAGAUUGUGUUAUUUUCACCCUUCAACGUAUCUCAUAGUUACCCAUCUUCGAUACUCGAUAGCACGUUCAAGACUUAACUCUGUUUGCAUUUUAAUAAAGUGCUUAAUGCUUGACUUUUAUUUAUUAUUUUUAAAUAAUUUUUUUUUAUAAAAGUAAGCAAAAAAUCGAGUUCUACAAGUGGUUCUUCAUAUAUAUUGUGUUAUUUUCACUCUCCAAUAUAUCUCAUAUUUACCAUUUUUUAUGCUCGAUAGCACCUAUCUACCCACCAUACCGUCCUUACAUUAUAUAUUAUUUGUUUAAACUAUAUAUAAAUAUUUUUGAGAUGAUAUUUUUUAUUUAUACACCAAACACAAAAUAAUAAAAAAACACAUUUAUCCUUUUAAAUAAUAUUUACGCACAAAAUAGUUCCAUUCAUACCAAACAUACCCUAGAUCAAUUAAUGGAAUUUCCACGACUCUAAUUUAUGGCAGUAAAUGAUGUGAGAUGAGUGGAUAAUAACAAGCCAUCAAGGUGGGAAAAUAAUGACCGCUUCUUGGUCAUACAGUAUGCUAUAUUCUUCGAUUUUCUAGGUGAAGUUAAAGUUGCUCACUCCGUCUCCGUUCCGUUUUAGUUGUUAUGGUAAAGGUUUGAUACAUUUUUAAGAAAAAAAUAAUAAGAAAUGUUUAUUUAAUUAGUAAUAUAUUUCUUAUUAGUUAGUCUUAAUAUGAGAAUAAUUAAUGUUUAAAACAAAAUUAAAGAAAGAUAAUUAAUUUUUGAAUAUACAUGACAAUUAAAAAAGACAAAAAUAGUAUUGGUUAAUUUAUAUAUUUUUAUCUGUUUUCUAACUUUAGUAUUAUUUUUUAAUAUUAUUUUGUUUUGUUCCCUUACUUCUCAUUAUGCCAUCUUUACUUUGUACUAUAGUUUUUUUAUAUUAUUUUUCUAUUUUGCGUAUUUAUGUUAUUAUUCUAACUUUUUAAAAAUUAUAUUCCUAAUUAAAGAAAGGAAAUUUCCGCAAAUAACCACUAUAAUACACUUAAUUAUGCAUCAUAGUUAUAGUUUGCAUAUUUACGAGCUGUAGCUAUAGUUUAAGUUGUCUCGUUUGUAUAAUUUGUGGGUGAGUUUACAUAAUUCGCGGGAACAUUUGUAUAAUUGGGCUAUUUUUUUUAUAUAAACUCAAAAUAACGAAUUUAUACAAACACAAACAUCUGAAUUUUAAAUAAUUAUACAAAUGGAGUAUACAAAAUUACAGUAUACAAAAGUUAUAUAAAUUUCGAAUUAUACAAAUGUGCAAAUUAUACAAAUUCGAAAUCCCAGCCCACGUAAUUAUCACUGAAUAUUGGUUGCGAGAGAUAAUUAACUAACUAAUAUAUGUUUGUUUAAUCAUCUAAUUUUUCCAUUGAAGAAAGAAUGAGUCAUCUAUAAACUUGACGCAUAUUAAUGGGCGACGUCAAAUUCCUUGAUUUAUUAGUCAUUAUUAUUAAUUAUACACACCUAUAUUUACAAGAUUUUAAAAAUAUAUCUAUUUUGUUUUAAAAUAGUUCACUGUGGUAAUAAGACCAUCCUAAGGUAUAAAUUACUUUUUUAUCAAAUAUUUGAACAAUGCUACUCAUAAAUUAUGGUUGUUGUUUUAUUUAAAAACAUAUCUUUGGACUGGUUUUAGAGUCGCCACUUAAUUUUGAAAAAAAUCAAGAAAACUGAUUUUCAAUAGAUUAAAACAAGAAACCAAUUGAUAAUACUUAAGGGGGGUUCAAGGGUUCCUAUUAAUAUUCUAGGAAGGUUUUUAAAGCACCUAGAAUAUCCGCUAAUGCGGUUAUCCGACAACUAAUUUAUUUGGCUAAAAUAAUUUUAACUUAGCUUGACUUGCAAAAUUGAACUAUUUUGUUACUUAGGACCAUUUUAAGGGAGAAAAUGGAAUUAUGAAAUAUUAUCUAAGCGAAAUAUUUGUAAACUUAUUCUUUAAGUUUUGUUAAGAAAUGACCGAUUUAGUUAAAUUGUUAAAUCAAAAUGAAUGUCUCUCGAGAAUUUGAAUUUUUCAACCUUAAGAUUUGCAACAAAUAUUAACAAGCACGCAAACACAAUAAAAUAAAGAGGAAAAGAAACUCGGGCCCAAGUUUGGUUUUUUGUCCGCCUGGACCAAUACUUGGGCCUAUUUCGUUUAUGGGCCUUUGGCCCAUUUAAGUCACCUGCACCUGUCCUGAACAAACAAGUAUAACAAAUAAAUAGGCUUAGGCCCAAAAUAACAAAAUACAAUUCCCAAAAUUAAGAGUGGGCCUUUGGCCCGAUCUUUCAAUUCUCCUCCGCUUUCGCAUUCUACCAACUUCGAGACCUGUUCGUCGAUCCUAUAGCUCGAAAAUGGGGCUAACUCGAUAGGAAACCAAGUCGGAUAUGUAGGAGUGGUGUACAAAAUAGACUCGGGUAAAUGUCACAUGCAUAAAGAAAGGGAUGGUAAGAAUUAGUCAAAGGCAAAUGACAUGGAACAAAUAAUAAAUUAAUGAAAGAACUUUGUCAAAAAUUCAGAAUAUGAAAAUAAAAUAAUCGAUAUGCCGGGGAUAGCUAAGGAAAAUAGAACAAAUUCCAAGGUGAAUGACUAUUUUUAGCAAAUUCUCACGGCGUAUGACUAUUUUAGCAAAUUCGAACAUAAUUAAAUAAAGCACUUUGAUUCUUCUUCCAAAAGACUAUGAGAAUUGACUCCAAAACAGGACAAACUCUAAUUGGUAGCUUGACUUAUAAUUGAAAGCUUGAUUAAUUUGGAAAGAAAUAUUCCUACAAUCAAUUCUCUUUGAAAGUGUUCAUAUUUGUUUGUAAAAAAUUCUAAAAAAAGUUUUUUUUUUUUCUUUUAAGGGAUGAAUUAGUGAGAUUAUCUUUUUAUUCGUGAUUUAUUAAGCACCAUGCAAAACGAAAAGUGAUCAACUAAUAUAAGACUGAGGGAGUAUUAGUUAUGAUAUUAUUUAAUCUUUUAUGUGAUACACAACAAACUAUAGCAUUAGCAAGACAGGGGCAACUAUCACGUGAUAAACAUAAUUAAAGACAAAAUGGUUAUCAAUGCACCCAGUCAAAUAAUUUCAAACAUAACUAACUUCAGUAUUACCAAUACACCUUAUUUAGUAUUAUUCUUAUACUCCACUAAUGAAUAGAACGACCAAAACAUCUAAAAUAAUAAUUAACAGAAUAAUUGUUAAGAUCUAAAUACACCUUAUACAAUAAUAUUAUUAAUAUAGGCUCUGUAAAUAAUCUCAGAGAUAAAAGAUACUCUACUAAUAAAAUAGGACAUACGAAACAUUUAGCAUCAGAAUUCAAAAGAAAUAUACAAGAUACUAUUAUUUUAUUUUAUUUUUAAAUAAAAAAAAAAAUAAAAAAAAAAUAAAGCUUUAUGCAGUGUGUUCAAACAGUUUAAGAAAAUAAGUUAAAUAUGUCAAUUGUAAAAAUAUUAAACUUUAUGCCUAUUUAGGAAAAAUACAUACAAAUACUCAACAAGUAUAGAUUAUUUUAAACAUUUGCAAUAUACAACAAUAAUAACAUUCAAUUAUUCUUCUUAAAUUAAAAUGCAGAUCAUAUAUUUUGAAAGUAUAACGACACAUGUUGAAGUUUCUUAUUAAAUUGAAAUAUUUAUUUACAUUGACAAUUUCAUUAUGCUAUUAUAAUCAAGAAAAAUCUUAGACAUGAAAAUAAAAUAAAAUACCCAAACACUAAUCUACUCAAAUUUUUUGUUUAUUUAUUAUUUUAUUUUUAUUUAAAAAGAAAAAAGAGAAUACACUUUCUUGAAGACAACCUUAAAAACCAAUGAUGUAAGUCAAACAAAUAAGUAAAAUGUGGCAUCAAGAGAUUUCCAAUAAGGCGAAAUCAACUGCAUGAAGGCUAUACAGACAUACGACCUAUAAUCAGACCUCUAAGCACUAAGGAAACAAGAGAAGUAGUCAUAUUUUGCAUAAAAAGAAAGAAGUCACCAUAAAGAAAACAAAGAACGAGUUACAUUCACCGGGCAGACAGAAAACUACGAGUAUGAGGAGCAAUCAAAGCAUUGACCACGGAAAGCAAGUCAUCAAAUCGAUUCCGAACGUCAUAGAGCGAACACGACUCAACAUUUGAAGGGAGUAAUAUCGAUAUUCUGCUCAUAUUUAGGCAUAUACCAAGAGACAUGAACAUUUCUAACAGAGAAUGAGAUCUUUAAAAAAAAACUACUUGUGUGAGAUCAUAAUAGACAUACAAAGAUCGAGAAAAAAAAAGGUAGCUAUAAACAAAGCAAAUACGAGAUUCUCACCUCCUUUUGGGCAGCGAAAUGGAGACCAAACGAGAAGGUGACGACUUCCGAUUCUCAAUACAAAGCUACAACGAAAAGUUCCGGUGAAAGCUUCAAAGAAAAAACUCUGAAUUUGAGACUUGGAUCUUUGACUAUUUUUAUGACUCUCUCUUUUAAAAAUAAAAUGAAAUAAAAUAAAUAAAGACAAAAUAUAUGUUUCUAUAUUUCUCCCCCGUAUCCAAUUUCCCCUUCACUCUUUCUCAAUCUUUUCUUCUAACCCAAAAUUUUCAACUCCCAAAAAAAAAAAUCCCCCUCCCCCCAGUGAACAGAAGCAAAUAUAUAGCCAGGAACUAGGGUUCGGAAAUUUUAGGGGGGAAAAGGGAUCAAAAAUCCGAAUAGAAAAGGCCCAUCUCGAAAUUCAAAUUCGAAAAAUCUUUCACCAUUUUGGCUAAACAUACUUUUUCUCACAUUUCGUCCCAUUCCGGAAGGGGAAAAGGGGAUAGAUGGACUCGAUCCGUUCAAUCGUCCCGGACGAGCAACGUGGAGCGAUCUCACGCCAGGAGGACGAUUCACGUUGCUGCUACUGAUGCUUUUUGCCGCAAAACUCGGCUAGAAACAGUACUAUCGAGAGGGAUGGGAGGAAGAAGACAAAGGAGAUGCAGUACUACCCUCUGUUGCUGCUUUUCGUUUGCUUUACUGUUUAUCUUCCUUUGGAGUCGUUUGAAAAUUAAUGUUUUUGUUGCUUUCCGCGUGUGUUGCCGCUUUGAACAUUGGAGUUGUUGACGUUUUGUUGGGAAUUGUAAGGGAAAGGGGAUGGGGUCAGCUGGUACUGCUUGUUGUAUGUAUGUAUUGUAUUGUUAUAUGUAAUGUGGGUUGGGGAAAUGGGUCGGGUAGAGGGAUUAUUUAGAAAGGAAAUGGGCUGGCAAUUAAGGGAGAUGGGCCUGUUGGUGCUGCUGUACAUGCAUGCUGGAAAUAGUAUUGGGCUGCUGAAAAGUGGCCCAAACUUUGGUCUUAAAAUGGUUUUAAGGUGAGGUUAAAGAUGGGUUCGAUCUUGGAGUUUAAGAAAUAGCCGAAUUGAGUUAAAUUAACAAAUUCGGCUAAAUCCUAAGUAAGAUGGAUUAACAUUAAUUAAUUAACGAGCUUCUAAAUUUUAAUGAAAUAGAAUAAUUAAUUUAAUUGCAAACCAAUAAUUUAAAAUUAUAACCAUAACUUGAACUAGACUAAUUUUGUAAAAUAUUUAAAAUAACAUUUUUUUUUGUGAGACGAUUUUCGAGUAUCCAUAAAAUAUACUAAUUAUAUAUAAAAUUACAUGAAAUAUAUUUAUCAUUCAAAGUACUAUAAAAAUCGACUGAAAUUAUUUAAAAUAACCUUGAAACUAUUUUGAAUUAUAUAAAGCUAAUUAUUCUAAGUCGUUUGAAAAAUUAAGAAGCUAGAAAAUCAAUUACUAUCGGGGAGGGUCAAAAUUGGGUGUCAACAGUUGUCAAUAUUAUUAUUAUUAUUAUUGCCAAACAUGUCAUCCAUGAUAUUUUGCUAAAUCUUUGCUCAGUUAAAAUAUUUUUUAAUCAAUUCAACUAAGCCAGUAUCAUUUAUUUUAAAACUAUAUCUUAGUUAUUAAUUUUACAAAUUGUUAAAAAUCUGUAAUUAUUCUGAAUUUCAGCUUACCCGACUCAAUAAAUAGAGGCAAAAAUGCAUUUCCAUUACUAUUGAAAAAUUACACCACUUUUACAAGUUCAAUAAGUACUAGCAAAUUAGUCCAACAAAAAAAAAAAUCAUUGAUAAAUCAAUCACAAGAACCCCUAACUAAUUGGGUCCGAACAAAUAGCAAAGUAAAUAAGAAAAUCCAUUAAGUAAAAACAUACAUGCAUCCAGUGUUUACACCAGGUCUAUAAAUGAAUGAUAUACAUUUGCAUAUACAUAGAGAGAGAGAUGUAUGGAUGUUUUAUCGAGGAUGCAGCUCAGUUAUCAAAUCCUGAUUUCCUGAAGAACAUAUUGAUUUACUUUCCGUUAGUUUGCUUGACGCGGAAAUUGUUGAAUUGACAUCUCCAAAGUGUAAAAUCUGUGGGUUUACAUCGUUGUGUGGAACUGGAAGACUCAAAGAGCGACUACUGAGCAUGAGAAGUACUUCACCCAUGUUUGGUCUAUUAGCAACAUUUUCUUGAACGCACAAUAAAGCAAUGUGGAUGUAUCUCACUAUGUCACCAACAGGUCCCGAGCUUCCCCUCAGCAUAGGGUCUAUCAAAUUUGAAACUGUUUCUUCGCGCCAGUUCAACCAAGCCUGUGAUAGAUGAGGCCACACAAAAUCAUUAAUUAUACUAUCUCUGAUUCACAUUAUGCGUUCCUCUUGAGAAAGACAUUUGAUGGCAUUGUUUAUACAAAGUGUUUGUCUAAAAUUAAAACAAAAAUUGCCUGACUUCUCUAACAAGGUAGUGUACAUUUAGUUAGGCACAAUUGGAGAAAGAUUUGAUGCGUAAACUUUUCUUAUGAUGAAGGGGUGUAUGAAAGGAAUUAAUUCGUCAUAAGUUGGGAGAGGGGACAAAAAUAUGUAUUAAGCCAAAGUUAUAUGACUAUUCAUCUCGACUUAUACUACUUUUAGGGACAAUCAAGUUAGCUCAACCAAAUUGAGGUAACCAUUUCUCAAGUCCUGGUAACAUUUCAAGGAAAGAUUUGUUUUAAUAUCGAGGUUUUUAUUUUCUAAAAAUGAUUAAAGAAUGCUUCGUAUAAUGAUACAAAAAAUAACAGUCUAUCUAGUGAGAGAUGUUAAACUUACUAAGUCCCAACAAUUCUGUUUGUGUUGCCUUGUGUUUCAUCCAAUGUAAAUAGUCUUGCCAUGCCAAAGUCUGCAAUUUUAGGAUUCAUCUCUGCAUCAAGUAGAACAUUACCAGCUUUGAGAUCGCGAUGAAUGAUGCGAAGUCUAGAAUCCUCAUGAAAAGAAAAACACACAGAACUAUCCGAGUCCACAGAACCCACUGUGUGUCCUUAAGAAAUUUAAUCCCCUCAAGUACCCGAGGUUGCAGAUUAAUUCCUCCCAAGAUAAAACGGAUUAACCAUUAAAGAAGUAGCGGUACCUCAAACUUCAAUAAUUUCAACGAACUCAAAAUGACACUUUCCCAAUUCAUAGUUGUGGACUUAGUUUUCCGGAAUUAAAAUAAGGCAGAUAACCAUACUACAGUCAACAUGUCAAAUUACACUGACAAAAACAUUAAGCAAUACAUACCAAAUAAAAAUUAGGUCAAGGCUUGCAUUGGGAACAAAUUCAUAGACAAGAAGUCUCUCUGUUCCAUCUAGGCAAAAUCCCAGUAAUCUAACCAAAUUCCUGUGCUGAAGCCUGGCUACCAACAAGACCUCGUUUUUGAACUCUAGAUCACCUUGGCCUGAAUCUGCUGACAAUCUUUUCACUGCUACUUCUUGUCCAUUUUGAAGCUUACCCUGAAACAUAAUACGAGAGCAAAUUGAAGAAUCAAUUAUUAUAAGCUCAUCAACAACGAAUCCUCAACCCCAAGCUAAGUUGUGGUUUUGUGGUAUGAAUUGUCAAUGUCCAUUUUAUGCAUCAAGCAAGUCUAAUCACCUUAUACACAGGACCAAAUCCACCCUGUCCCAAUUUAUUAGCAUUUGAGAAGUUGUCUGUUGCUUCUCUAAUUAUAGAAAAAUCAUACUGCAAGGAUUCUACAUCGCUAAUAUCAUCCCCGAGUGUACCUUCACCAAAGUAGUAGUAAUAACAAAUACAGUAUAUAGUGAAGCAUGUUCUUAAGAAAAUUCAACUUUCCUUAAAUCAUAGAAAUACAAUACGUUAUCUUACCUUGAAUUUUAUCCACUUCCUCUUUCGCUUCUUCGUUAAGAUGACAGAAAUACAUACAAUAAGAAUAACAACUGUAACAGUAGGCACAAUGAUAAUGAUGAUGAGUGAAUCUUUUGUAUCAUCCUUCACUAUCGGAACUGUUUUAGUAUCAUUCCCCGUUGGAGCUGUUUUAUCAUCAUUUCCUUAAAAAAAAUGCUUCAAGUUAGUAUAAUAUUCUCAGUUUUAACUAGUAAAAUUUUGUGUUAUGAUGGUGGCGAUGAACUGUGUGAUAUUCUCAUCUAAAAUUUUAAGUUGUUAGACGACAUAUCAUAUAUUUAACCAUCUUGUUAUAGGUUAUAUUAAAUUAAAUUAAAUUGUUAAAUAAGGUAAUUAAACUUAUACUAGUAUCUACUUAGGUACAGUACAUAUGUCUUCAAAUCAAAGUGGAAAGAUGUAAUUUACGUGCACAGGGUCGACUCAACAAGAUCGGGAGCCUAAAACAAAACUUAAGGAAGGGGCCCUAAUAUAUAUUUUUUCACCAUGUAUAGUUUUAUUUAAAAUCUACUUUUCUAGCUUGAUUUUUUAGAUGUGAAAUCAUUAGUUACUAUUUUAUAAUUGAUUUGUUUUAAUAAUUCUCUUUCAAUUGAUAAUAUAGACAAUCGAUUCAUUCUCUCUUGAGAAAUUGUUGACCUUAGAUUUAAUCAAUUUUAGUUUCGAAAAACCUCUUUCGGCCGAGGCAACGGUUAGAAAACUGUUAACAUUAUUCUAUAAGUUAUAUAUGUGUAUUUGGAAAAGAAUCAAGUUUUUUAUUUAAUUGAAUGUUUUCAUUAGAUCAUUAUCUUCUACUUACAUUAUUUCUCAUUAUCUAGUGAUCUCAAUUUACCACUAAAUAAGAAACAAAAAAUAUUUUCAUAUGCUUCAAUUGGUUCAAAACUAUUUUGAAGUAAAAAAAAUUGCUUGAUCUACUACACAUACACACACACUAUAUAUAUAUAUAUAUAUAUAUAUAUAUAUAUAUAUUGUGAUUUCAUUAUCAAUAUUUUCUAUAAAAAUUUUCUUACUAAAUUCAGGUUCUAUAUUUAUUUCAUAUGUAAUUUCUUUAAUAGAAAUCAUAACAUUCACGAUACAUAUAAUUAUUUUUAUAAAAAUAACAUUUAUAAGUAAGUUUUUAAAAUAAAUGGGGCCCCACCAAAAUAUGAGAUGCCAAGCAAUGACUUUAAUGGCUUAGGGUUAAGACGGUACCUGCAGGUGGGAGUGGCACAUCGAAGAAUUUGGAACUUUCAUAACGGAGAUUGCACCUAGACACAAUGAUUCUGCCACCGCUCUUGCCGUAGCAGGGACAUUUAGGCAUAUUUUCAUAAGCCACAGUUCAGCAUUUGAGGCAAUUCUGAGGAGAUAAAUCAGGAGUACACUGCACAAGUGCAUAUAUAGACUGAAAAUCUGGACCUGUCGCAUUACCAGUAGCAUAUUUUAGUGAGGAACCACCUUCUACAGCACGAUCUCGUAAAUUUUCCUGUAAUUUACUCCGUUCCUGUUUAAAUUCCUCGGGUUUUGUGGCAUUAGCAGGAUUCCAAAAGUAAUAUUGAAGAGAAAAUGAUGUAGUUUCUAAAAUGGAUGAAUCAUUCGAGUACUGCAACGAACAUUCAUCAUAGCCACCAAUAGCUCUUUUUUGGGUAGGAAAUAACUGUACAAGUUUUUGAGCAAUGUUAUAGACACAAUUGCGACAUUGUUCUAGCUCCACAUCUCCUUUACAGAGCACAAUACCACUGACCUUGUCGGUGCUUUGGCCAUCGGAAGCAUAGCUGAAACUAUGGUUAUCAAUUUUUGAGGAAAGGAAAGAGAGGAGUGAGUUAAGAUUAUUCUGGUAUGCACUAUUUUCAGUAUAGUUACCAUUGGUACCACAUGAACUGUAACGUAAAUCAGGAAGCUGCGACGCCGAUACAAUAUUGAGAACAUGACCGUGUAUAUGCCAAAAAAGAAAGAGUAGCACCUUCUGAAUAGCCAUGGUCAUGGUUGUCUAACUUGCAUUUCCAUUUGUAGAAGCUUAGAUAUUUUGACAUCAAAGGUAAAAUGAGUUGGCUUUUAUUUUUAUUUUUAUUUUUUUAGCUUAAAAAAACAUGCAUCAGGUCAUUAAAUGUAGUUGUACUUAAUACUCUCAGAGGGGUCGUUUGGUGUGAAGGAUUAUACCAAAUAGUCUUGGAUAAAAUUAUAGUGAUGCUUAAUUUGUUGUUUGGUUGACAAGUCCGGGAUAACUUAUCCCGGGAUUAAUAAUUAGUACCGGGAUAAGUUAUCCCUCUCUUUGGAUGGUAUAAUAAUCCCAUCAUAAUUUAUCCUUGGAUAAAUCUAUUAAAUGACAAAAUCACCCUUCAAACCCAUUAUAUCAUCACUAUAUAUAUAUUUGUAAUAAUUGUUCCUACUAGAUUAAACUUCAUGAGUAUAUACUACACUUUGAUGCCCAGUAAGCAACGUAAUUGGUGACUCCAAGUUUGAUGUCCAUGAUUUUUCAUUUGGUCCAUGCAGGGCCGACUCAACAAGAGCGGGGGCUUAAAGUCAAACCUUAAAGAGAGGCUCUAAUAUUUUGAAAAGUAUUUUGUUUCUUCAAUCUCUUUAAUAAUUUUAUUCUUGACUUCACUUGCCAAAUAAGUUUAAUAAUUCACUUUGUAUAUUAUGUCCAAGGUAAUGACUAUAAAUUUCGUCAUGCAUAUUCUUCAAAUAUGUCUUGCAUAACUGGAUCAAAUUUAUUAUUCAUUUCAAUUAGGCUUUUAAAAAUUACCGUUACUUUCUUGAUAGAUCUUUCCAUUUGUUCCCCUAAAUGCUAAAUUAUUUUUCCAAAUAAUUUUGAACACGUCAAUCAUUCUUGACAAUACAUUUUUCAUUGCACUUUAUCGCUAUCAAUUUGUUCCUGCACAACUUUAUCAAUUGUUUUUUUAAUGCAAUCUCAUUUCUAAAUCAAUACACGAGCUCAUAUUAUUAAUAAUAUAUUCAUUCUUUACUUCAUGGACUUUGAGCUUAAUACUAAGAUUUCUCCAAUCAUUACUACCUUCAGCUAGAUACUAUUACAAAUAAUAGAAGUUUUGCUAAAUAAUUACAACAAAACAAAAAAAUUAUCCAAAUCUUUAGAGUAGAUUAAUCAUUUUCUUUCUUGCUUUUCUCCGUUUACCAAUUUUUGAAUAUAGUGUGUUGUAGAAAAAUGUCGUACGUAUUUAUCUUGUAGAAAUUUUAUAUCAGCCAUUCUAAAUGGUCCUUUUUCUACUAAUAGAUCUCUGAAUUUCGUAUCUACAUUAUUUCAUUGACUUGGAUCAUAUAUAUUUUUAGGGAUGGCAACUAUUUAAAUUAUUUAGGAGUUCUUGAUAUCGGGAACAAUUAAAUUAGGUCUUUAGGCCUAAACUCACACCCCAAAAGCUAGCUCAAAGGGAGGAGGAUUGUCCAAACCUUAUAAGUAGUCCACUCAUUUCAUUAACCACCGAUGUGGGACUUUUGUCAUUCUUUAACAUAGAAAAAUGUCGUACGUAUUUAUCUUGUAGAAAUUUUAUAUCAGCCAUUCUAAAUGGUCCUUUUUCUACUAAUAGAUCUCUGAAUUUCGUAUCUACAUUAUUUCAUUGACUUGGAUCAUAUAUAUUUUUAGGGAUGCAACUAUUUAAAUUAUUUAGGAGUUCUUGAUAUCGGGAACAAUUAAAUUAGGUCUUAGGCCUAACUCACACCCCAAAAGCUAGCUCAAAGGGAGGAGGAUUGCUCAAACCUUAUAAGUAGUCCACCCAUCUCAUUAACCACUGAUGUGAGACUUUUGUCAUUCUUUAACACCCACCUCACGCCCAGUGCUUAGCAUCUGGUGCGUGGGCAAUCAAUUUGGUAAAAUCUUUUUACUUUUCCUUUUUAGUCUAAAAAUAUUUUAUAGUAUUUAAUUUCCUUUCAAGUCUAGGGUUUACAUUAAUUGCAAAAUAUUUAGUUUUAUUUUAGUUUAGUAUCUAGAAGGAUUCUCCUUAAUUAUUUAUAAAUAGGGAUGUACUCUUCUAUUUGAAUAAAAAAAAAAGGCAAGAAUCAAUACAAAGAGUUAUCAUUCAUUCUCUCUUUAAUUUCUCUUUCUAGUUUCUUUCAUUCUAUAACAGUGGUAUCAGAGUCUUACAUUGAUCGUAAUGGAUCUGUGAGUUCGUUGAAGAAGAACUUUCAACCACUUUUAAUUCAUAUCUAUUUUCAACCCACUUUUAACCCGUGCUUUUAUUUUUAACGCAGGGCUACUUUUAACCAAUUUUUAAUCUAUAUUAUUUUAAACCUUAUUUUUCAAACCAUGACAAGCAAUACUCUUUCUUUCAAUGCCCCACAAACCUUCAAUGGUGAAAAUUAUCAAAUUUGGGCAGUUAAGAUGAAGUCUUAUCUUGAGGCUUAUGAUUUGUGGGAAACUGUAAUGGAAGAAAAACUCAUGGAAAACACAUUUGGAAAAAUUCUGUUGGUGGAGAUCUGAUGCAGUAUGCGGAAGUUGCAAACAAACAGGUCAUGUUACAAAAGUGUGCAAGUUCAAAGACACUCAAGAUAAAUCACAAGCAUUACUAGUAGAAGAAGAAUGUAAGGAUGAAUUUUAUUAGAAGAUAUUUUUGAAGAAUAAUUAUGUGUUCAAACUCAAGUUAGAUAUACCAACUUGAGUUUGAGGGGGAAUGUUGAAAUUUGGUAGAAUCUUUUUACUUUUCCUUUUUAGUCUAAAAAUAUUUUAUAGUAUUUAAUUUCCUUUCAAGUCUAGGGUUUACAUUAAUUGCAAAAUAUUUAGUUUUAUUUUAGUUUAGUAUCUAGAAGGAUUCUCCUUAAUUAUUUAUAAAUAGGGAUGUACUCUUCUAUUUGAAUAAUAAAAAAAAAAGCAAGAAUCAAUACAAAGAGUUAUCAUUCAUUCUCUCUUUAAUUUCUCUUUCUAAUUUCUUCCAUUCUAUAACAGGAACAAUGUCACAUUUUCACCAACUUCUUCUAGAUUUUAUUCUUGGAUAUUAUUAUCAUCUAAAUCAAUUCUAAUGGUGACUUGUUCAUUUGAAGAACAUCCUCCAAUUAUUUUUUUAUUCGAAAUAUUUUUUAUUUGGUAAAAAUCUCUCAAGCAAUAUCUUUUAAGAUUUAUUUAAUUUCUUCAAUAAUAAUUUUCUCUCUUUUUGCAAACUCGGAAUCAUGUUUCUAGUUGACAUAUUAAAAUUGAAUAAAUUUUAAGAACAAUUAAAACAAUUUACAUAUACUUAAGAAUAUCAACAAUAAUUUUUUCUCAAGAAAAACAAUAAAACCUCUUACACGUUUUUUUCUUCAAAAAAUUAAUAUAAUUUUUUAAUAAUAUGUAUAUGUACUUUUUUUAUAAAAUGGAGGCCCCAAAAAUUAUGAGGCCCCAAGCGAUAGCUUUAGUGGCCUAGUGGUUAAGACGGCCCUGGGUCCAAGCCGUUGGGACACCAAAGUGUAGUUCAAAUAUGAAAAUGAUGAGAAUUCAUACAUAAAACUCAUACUAAUUAAUGUGGUUUGGUCACAUCUCAAUUAAUUUCUGCUGUCACAACAAAUUAUUUGUAUCAUAAUUAAUUAAUUUCUAAUCUAAACAAUUUGAUACUAAUACAACUUAAUUAAACUUGAAAAACUUAAUUAGGUUUGGUUUUUAGAGUGGACUACUGACGUCUCCAAAAUUGGUACAUAGUUGAACACAAAAAAAUCAUAAGAACACAUACAUAAAAAAGUUAAGCUAAAUAAGGUGGAUAAUUUGUUUUUAAGAUUGAAAUAUUUUUUCUGAAAGUUUUAAUAUGACCACACGGGUCAGACUUUUAUUGACUUAACAAAAACAACUACAACCCAAUUCCUACGAAGCUAACAGUAAACAAAAAACAAAUAAAUUUGAAAUAUCUGGGAAGUUAACUAAAGCUCUAUCAAAAAAAUAUACAAAUAGUUAAAUAAGGUAGAGGGUAUUUUUGUAAACAAACAACUUAAUUUAGAAAGUAUCCAAUGAAUAUUAUUUUUAAUACUACAAACCAAACAAUCAAUAAAAAAUAAUACGAGGAUAACAAAUCUCAUCAUAACUAAUCACAGCAUAACUUAUCUCAGCAUAACUUGUAUUCAAACCAAACGACCCCUCUCUAUAUAACAAUAGUUAUCCACUAUUAAUUUAGAAUAGAGAUUAAAAAAUAGUAAAUGAUAGAUAUAAUUUUACCAAAUUAUCCUUAUUAAAUACUUUUAUAAUUACUUGUCCAUUUUUGAAGUGAUACACUUACUAAGAAAACAAUUACUGACAUAGUGAGUUUAUCAUUUUACCCCUAUUUAUUAUGAAGUGGAUGGAUUAAAAAAUUAAGAUUUUCAAGAAAUUUUACCUUUUUCAAAUUAAUUAAUUGAGGAUAUAAUAGGUAAAAUUAUUUUGUCAUUUCUUAAUUUGUCAAAAUAGACAAAUAAUUAGGGACAAGUAUAAAAGAAAAAAUGGACAAAUAAUUAGGGACAUAGAGAGUAUAAGUCUUUUAAACAUUGAAAAAUGAACAUUUAAAAAUAAGUAUAAAAUAGACAUAAAAUAAUAAAUCAUUCAUUAAUUUUAUAAACUAAACCAGAAUUAUCAGACAUAAAUCACUUUGUGGCUUAAGUGACCUUUUGAGUGAAUUGACCUAGUAAGAGAUAAAAUUUUGAUGACUUGGUCUAUAUCUUUGGAUUUGCCAAAUUUUUCUCCUUAGAAAAUAUGAAAUUCGUAGACUCUAAUUUAUGGGGAUAAUGGGAAUUGGGACAGGAGUGGAUACCAAGAAGCCACCAAGGUUGCAAAUUUUGACCGCUACUUGCUCAUCAACUUUAUAUGAUUACUCCAGAAAAUGAAAUCCAACUAAUUUUCUACAAGUACCAUAUUUUCGUUUUUUUUUCCUAGUGUUUUAAAUUUUAAUCCACAAUGAUUUCUUUAGAAUUUUGGGGAACUAUUCUCUGUUCUUAAUUACUUGUUUAUUUUUAAAUUGACACACUUAUUAAGAAAAUAAAAAUUGACAUAGUGAGUUCACAAUUUUACCCCUAUUAAUUAUGAAGUGGAUGAAUUAAAAACUUCAGAUUUUCAAGAAGUUCUAUCUUUUUCAAAUUAAUUAAUUGAUUGUAUAAUAAGGUAAAAAAAAAUGUUAUUUCUUGAUUUGUCAAAACUGAAAGUAAUUAAGGAUAACUAUAAAAAAAAAAAGGAUAAGUAAGUAGGAUCAGAGGGAGUAUGUCCUUAUAUCUUCUCUGUUGCUCUUCAGAUCAUACACUUAAAUAUUUGUGAAAUUUCCAACAAAGCGGUGUCAUCAUCAACUUGGGAAGAAUUUUUUUUUGAAAGAUCCUAAAAAGGGAUCAAAGAAAAAAGAGUCAAACUUUUGACUUGGUCUACAUCUCAAAAGUUGACAAAUUGAAUCCCCAAAGUCAACAAGUCUAAUUUAUGGGGGUGAUGGGACAGGAGAGUAUAAGAACAAGCUACCGAGGUGGAAACGUUUCUAAUUACAGACUAUUCUGUCCGUUUCAUAAUAGUUGGCUAUCUUAUUAAAAUAUAUUUAUUUUGAAUUAUGUGUCUAUUUAUUAAAUUAAAAUAAAAUUAAUUUUAAAAAAUUCAUUCUACCCCUAUUAUUAGUACUUUUUGAAAGCCUAAAUAAAUUUAGAAUUUUUUUAAAAAAUAAUCAAGAGUUCCUUAUUUUGUAUCUAUUCUAAUGAUAUAUAUUUAUGUGCCCUAUCUUAUUUAUUAAAUAUAUUUUUCAUGAAUUAUCGUAAUGUACAUUAAUAAAAAUAAAGAAAAAAUUAAUUAUCUGAUAUGUAAGUUCUCAAACACCACAUAAAAUAAAGACUUAAGUCAUACGGAGGAGCCCCUUAAAGUUAUUUGCAUAUUUCACUUGAACACUUCAAUUAAGACUUGUAUGAUUGAAUACUUUUAUUAUUCAAAAUAAGCAUCUAUUAGACAUUUUUCGUUGACAUAUCAAAGAAUGUGCAAUACACAUUUAGUGAGUGUGUGGAGGGAUAUUUUAGCUUCUUCUUUUUUUAUCUCUUUCUUCUUCUUUCUUUGUCUCUUUCUUCUUCUUUUUUUCAUAGCCAUAACUCUUCCAACACCACCACCACCAUCCCGCCAUUGCCGCCGCCUCCCCCCACCAUCAUCUACCCUUUUCUUCUCUCUUUUCUUCACCCACCUCUCCCUCUCCCUUACCAUUGUCGAUUUCAUCUGGAGAACACCAUUACAUUUCCUCCUCCAUUUUCUUAAAAUUUGGCAGUCAUUAUCAUCUUAUUCACCGGAAGAAAAAUGGAUACCCACACUAUCACUACUCUAUUCCUCCCUCCCUUUGUUCUUCCUGAAAAAUAAAUAUCUAAACCCAAAUGUAUCAUAUUUUUAAAAAAAUCAGAUCUGGAAAAAUUAAUAGUUGAAUUAAGAGGAACGACGACGCCGAUGACGGUGAGUGGACGGUGAUAGUUUGAAUAAAGGAGCUGCACAUUUUUUCUUCACCCCUUGACCUUUAUGAAGUUUUGAACCUGCUCAAUGAUUAGUUAAUUAUAAAUCUCUCUAUACUCCAUUAAUAUAAGAUUGAAGUUGUGAACGAGUAAAAUUCUUUAGCUCAACACAGUUAAAGACGAAACAUAGUGAAUGAAUUGAAGGUCAUUCAUGGUUUCAAAAUAGAUGUUUUUUUUUCCUCAAAAUUCCAUAUGUAUGUCGUUAAUUCGUUAAUUUGUCAUGUCACCGCGAGUGUAUUACACAUAUAACACUUUUAACUGAUGGUCAAAAAAGUGUUCAAAUGGGUAAAAAUGUUCAAUAGGUACCAACCUUAAUUGUGGUGUUCAAAUGAAAUAUGCAAACAACUUUAAGAUGCUCUGUAUGACCUAAGCCUAAAAUAAAAGAUAAUCAAUCAAUAUGAAACGGAAUGAGUAAAAUAUUUUAUGAUUCCAGAAUAUGAAAAGUUAUUUUGGCUCUUGAAAUAGUAUAUAGUUGUACGUAAUGAGUUCCUAGAAAUGGGGACUUUUUCCUUUCCUCUUGUUUUCUUUUUCCUUUUGCCCGUCCAUAAAGUUGAAAAGACGUGUGAGAUGCCCAUAUGAUGCUAUCUUACAAACCAAGCCAGUUAAAAUGAAUAUGGAUGUAUUUAGCUCAAGUUAAAUACUCCGGAUCCUUAAUUAUUUGUCCAUUUUCAAAUUGAUACACUUACUAAGAAAAUAAUAAUUGACAUAGUGAGUUUACCAGUUUAACCCUAUUAAUUAUGAAAUAGAUGAAUUAAAAACUUAACAUUUUCAAAAAGUUCUACCUUUUUCAAAGUAAUUAAUUGAGGGUAUAAUAGGUAAAAAAAAAUUGUCCUUACUUGAAUUAUCAAAAUAGACAAGUAAUUAUGGACAAUUAUAAAAGGAAAAAUGGACAAGUAAUUGAGAAAAAGGGAGUAUAACUAUUUUAAAAGGCUUAAGUCAUAUGCGGCCCCUUAAACUUGUCUGUAUAUUUCAGUUAGACACCUUAACUUAGACUUGUACCUAUUGAACACUUUAAUCUUAACAAAUUUAUACUUAUUUAACACAAAAUGAAAAUCAGUUGAAAAAUAAAAGUGGUGUGUCUCAAACACAAAUACAUAGCCGAUGGACCAAUGACGUGAUGACAUGUGGUAAUUGAAUCCAAUUUUUUUAAUCUCUAAUUAAAUCAUUCAAAAAAAAAUAAAAAAAAAUAUUUUUAAUCAACCCACCCCCAACCCCAUCUUCUCCUUCUUUUCACCCUUCCACUGGUGGAAACAGGCCGCCAACCAUACUCUCACCUUUUUAUUCUUUAACAUUGAACCUUACCAUCCAUUGCCUUUAUUUUCUUCCCAUUAAUAAUAUAAGUUAUUAUCAUAAUUAUAUAAAAAUAAUAACAAAUUUUGCCGAAAAAAAUAAUCAAUUCAUAUAUUUUUUAUCAGAAAAAAUGAAGUUUUGUUAGAAUAUUUGAGAUUUAGAUCUUUAUAAUAAUGUAUGUACAAUUUUGUUGCUUUAUUGUGGGUUUCGUUGCGCUAAAAAGUAAAAAAUUAUAAUGCAUACUCAGCAUUAACAAAUGCCCAGCAUAGGGUAAAUUUUCCAAAUUUAGUUUUUCUGUUGUCUUCAACUUUAAACUGAUUUAUAUUAUGAUUUUUAUAAAAUUUAAAAAAAAAAAAAGAGCGAAAGAAGGAGGAGAACAAUGGUUGCAGAGGAACAUUCACUACAAGAGAAGUGUGAAUUACAUGGGAUUUUCCUGGAGAUUAGUAUGAAAAUUUGCAGGAUAAUAAGUUUCCUACAAAUUUUCAUACUAAUCCACAGAAAAAUUCUCAUGUAAUUCACAAUUUUCUUAUAGUGGUUGUGGGAAGAAGACAUGCUUUCUAUUAUUUAGUUUUUUUUAAAAAAAUUUAAGUGUAUAAAUGAGAAAAUAAAAAAGGAAAAAUACUAUUUUUAGUUGCUUUACGCGCUCAAAGAGCGUGGAACACACUUUUUUUGCCAUGUCAGCAUUUUGUGUCAAAUAGGAAUGGUUUUUGAACAAAAAAAGUGUUCAAUAGGUACAAGCCCUAGUUAAAGUGUCAAAGUGAAAUAUGUGGACAACUUUAAGAGGCCGUCGAUGACUUAAACCAUUUUAAAACUAUGCAUUCGUAAUAAAAUGAGUGUUACUUUUACAUAUAAACAUUACAAUAAUUGCUAGCUAGACUACAAGUCCAAGGCACGCACUAAAAGUGGUACCAACACGUAAAAUAAGUAAACUCGGAGAAAAAAGCUACAAAUAUUUGAUUUGACUUGGUCUACAUCUAAGAAGUUGACAAAUUGAAUCAUCAAAGUCAACAAGUCUAAUUUAUGGGGAUGAUGGGACAGGAGAGUAUAAGAACAAGCUACCGAGGUGCAAAAUUAAUUUGUACUUGCUUUUACUUGAACGUUUCUAAUUACAUACAUACUUUUCCAUCCCUACUAUAAUAUAUACGAGUAGUUGGCUAUCUUAAUAAAAUUAUAUGUUCCGAAUUAUUUGUCUACUUAUUUAAUUAAAUUUAAAAAAAUUCAUUUUACUCCUAUUAUGAAUACUUUUUGAAUAUCUUAAUGUACAUCAAUAUAAAUAAAGAAUGAAUUAGAGAAAUUAAUUAUUUGAUAUAUAAUUUCUUAAAUAUCAUAUAAAAUAAAAGAUAAUCAAUUAAUAUGAAACUAAAUAAGUAACAUUUUAUAUGAUUUUAGUAAAUGAAAAGUUAUUUGGCUCUUCAAAUAGUAUAAAGUGGUAUGGAAGAAGUUCCUAGAAAUUGAGACUAUUUCCUUUCCUCUUGUUUUCUUAGUUAAAUAACUACUCAUUUUAAAACUAUGCAUUGUAUUAAAAAGAGUGCUACUAUUACAUAUAAACUUUAUAAUAAUUAUUGUUAGCUAGACUACACGUACACUAAAAGUGGUACCAACACAUAAAAUAAGUAAACUCAGAGAAAAAGGUUAUCAUACUAAGGAGUCGUUUGGUAGAGUGUGUAAGAAUAAUGCUGAAUAUGAUGUAUUAGUAAUGCAUGCAUUAGUAAUGCUUGCAUUAGUUAUGCUUGCAUUAUUUCUUAUACAUUGUUUGGUUUGAUGUAUUGGAAAUAGCAAGCCUUGUAUAAAGACUAUUAAAAAAUAUUUGUUUACAAAAAUACCCCCACAUUAUUAUUAUUAUAAUUAUUCUUAUUCUAAUAAUAAUAAUAAUUAUAUAAUUAUUAUUAUUAUAAUAAUAAUUAUUAUUAUUAGGCUUAGAGGGUAGUUUACUCUACCAAACGACCUCUAAGGAUGUUAACGAGGAUAUAACUCAGAUAUGGAGGCCUCAUUUCGUGAUGAACCAAUAGAUUUACUUUUGGCUAGUUCACUAGAGUCUGUCAUUCUUGUGUUGUAUUCUUUAAUAAGCGACGUCUCUGCGGUAAUAUUACUGUGCAUAUAGAAUGCUGGCCCUGAAGGCAUGGGAAGACUCAACGAAAAGCUACUGAGCAUGAGAACAACAGCUGCCAUGGUUGGUCUAUCAGCCACACUUUCUUGAACACACAAUAAAGCUAUGUGAAUGCUUCUCAUUAUGUCACGAAUCAGUCCUGUGCUUUCCUUCAGCAUUGGAUCUACAAAAUCUACAGUUGUUCCAUUACGCCAGCUUAACCAAGC
rnacentral:lncRNA from 1 species